rnacentral:rRNA from 1 species
UACGGAGGGUGCAAGCGUUAUCCGGAAUCAUUGGGUUUAAAGGGUCCGUAGGCGGGCAUAUAAGUCAGUGGUGAAAUGCUGUGGCUCAACCAUAGCACUGCCAUUGAUACUGUAUGUCUUGAAUUAUUGUGAAGUGGUUAGAAUAUGUAGUGUAGCGGUGAAAUGCUUAGAUAUUACAUAGAAUACCGAUUGCGAAGGCAGAUCACUAACAAUAUAUUGACGCUGAUGGACGAAAGCGUAGGUAGCGAACAGG